UAGGGAAUCUUCGGCAAUGGACGAAAGUCUGACCGAGCAACGCCGCGUGAGUGAAGAAGGUUUUCGGAUCGUAAAACUCUGUUGUUAGAGAAGAACAAGGACGUUAGUAACUGAACGUCCCCUGACGGUAUCUAACCAGAAAGCCACGGCUAACUACGUGCCAGCAGCCGCGGUAAUACGUAGGUGGCAAGCGUUGUCCGGAUUUAUUGGGCGUAAAGCGAGCGCAGGCGGUUUCUUAAGUCUGAUGUGAAAGCCCCCGGCUCAACCGGGGAGGGUCAUUGUAAACUGGGAGACUUGAGUGCAGAAGAGGAGAGUGGAAUUCCAUGUGUAGCGGUGAAAUGCGUAGAUAUAUGGAGGAACACCAGUGGCGAAGGCGGCUCUCUGGUCUGUAACUGACGCUGAGGAUCGAAAGCGUGGGGAGCAAACAGG
rnacentral:rRNA from 1 species